rnacentral:rRNA from 1 species
AUGAGAGUUUGAUCCUGGCUCAGGACGAACGCUGGCGGCGUGCCUAAUACAUGCAAGUCGAACGCUUCUUUCCUCCCGAGUGCUUGCACUCAAUUGGAAAGAGGAGUGGCGGACGGGUGAGUAACACGUGGGUAACCUACCCAUCAGAGGGGGAUAACACUUGGAAACAGGUGCUAAUACCGCAUAACAGUUUAUGCCGCAUGGCAUAAGAGUGAAAGGCGCUUUCGGGUGUCGCUGAUGGAUGGACCCGCGGUGCAUUAGCUAGUUGGUGAGGUAACGGCUCACCAAGGCCACGAUGCAUAGCCGACCUGAGAGGGUGAUCGGCCACACUGGGACUGAGACACGGCCCAGACUCCUACGGGAGGCAGCAGUAGGGAAUCUUCGGCAAUGGACGAAAGUCUGACCGAGCAACGCCGCGUGAGUGAAGAAGGUUUUCGGAUCGUAAAACUCUGUUGUUAGAGAAGA